UACGGAGGAUCCGAGCGUUAUCCGGAUUUAUUGGGUUUAAAGGGUGCGCAGGCGGGAGAUUAAGUCGGCGGUGAAAUUUUGCAGCUCAACUGUAAAAGUGCCUUCGAUACUGGCUUCCUUGAGUGUGGAUGAAGUAGGCGGAAUGUGCAGUGUAGCGGUGAAAUGCAUAGAUAUCACGAGGAACUCCGAUUGCGCAGGCAGCUUACUAAACUACUACUGACGCUCAGGCACGAAGGCGUGGGGAUCAAACAGGAUUA
rnacentral:rRNA from 1 species